AUUGAACGCUGGCGGCAGGCCUAACACAUGCAAGUCGAGCGGCAGCGGGACCUUCGGGUCGCCGGCGAGCGGCGGACGGGUGAGUAAUGCCUAGGAAUCUGCCUGUUAGUGGGGGAUAACGCGGGGAAACUCGCGCUAACACCGCAUACGUCCUACGGGAGAAAGCGGGGGCUCUUCGGACCUCGCGCUAACAGAUGAGCCUAGGUCGGAUUAGCUAGUUGGUGGGGUAAUGGCUCACCAAGGCGACGAUCCGUAACUGGUCUGAGAGGAUGAUCAGUCAGACUGGAACUGAGACACGGUCCAGACUCCUACGGGAGGCAGCAGUGGGGAAUAUUGGACAAUGGGCGAAAGCCUGAUCCAGCCAUGCCGCGUGUGUGAAGAAGGUCUUCGGAUUGUAAAGCACUUUAAGUCGGGAGGAAGGGCUGUAGGUUAAUACCCUGCGGUUUUGACGUUACCGACAGAAUAAGCACCGGCUAACUUCGUGCCAGCCGCCGCAGUAA
rnacentral:rRNA from 1 species